rnacentral:rRNA from 1 species
CGAACCGUGCGAACGUUGUUCGGAAUCACUGGGCUUAAAGGGCGCGUAGGCGGGCUGUCAAGUCUGGGGUGAAAUGCUGCGGCUCAACCGUAGCACUGCCUUAGAUACUGACGGCCUCGAGGAAGUAGGGGGCAUGCGGAACUGUGGGUGGAGCGGUGAAAUGCGUUGAUAUCCUCAGGAACUCCGGUGGCGAAAGCGGCGUGCUGGACCUUUUCUGACGCUGAGGCGCGAAAGCUAGGGGAGCAAACGGGAUUAGAUACCCCGGUAGUCCUAGCCCUAAACGAUGGGUACUAGAUAGUGGACUAGAUAUGGGUUUACUGUCGAAGCUAAAGUGCUAAGUACCCCGCCUGGGGAGUAUGGUCGCAAGGCUG